UACGGAGGGGGCAAGCGUUAUUCGGAAUUAUUGGGCGUAAAGAGCUCGUAGGCGGUCUGUUGCGUCGGCUGUGAAAACCCGAGGCUCAACCUCGGGCCUGCAGCCGAUACGGGCAGACUAGAGUUCGGCAGGGGAGACUGGAAUUCCUGGUGUAGCGGUGGAAUGCGCAGAUAUCAGGAGGAACACCGAUGGCGAAGGCAGGUCUCUGGGCCAUUACUGACACUGAGAAGCGAAAGCAUGGGGAGCGAACAGG
rnacentral:rRNA from 1 species